rnacentral:rRNA from 1 species
UACAGAGGUGGCAAGCGUUGUUCGGAAUUACUGGGCGUAAAGGGCGCGUAGGCGGCCCUCUCAGUCAGACGUGAAAUCCCUCGGCUUAACCGGGGAACUGCGUCCGAUACUGGUUGGCUUGAGUUUGGGAGAGGGAUGCGGAAUUCCAGGUGUAGCGGUGAAAUGCGUAGAUAUCUGGAGGAACACCGGUGGCGAAGGCGGCAUCCUGGACCAAUACUGACGCUGAGGAGCGAAAGCCAGGGGAGCAAACGGG